GUGAUGCCGCAAUAGUCCCACAUCGGAUGAGAAUGAUUUUGUAAUUCAUGAAAAUAUAAGGUAACCAUAGACCCUAAGAACAAUAAUAGAGCUAGUCCCACAUCGGAUAAAAAUAAGUUUAUGAUUAAAAAUAUAAGAAACCAUGGAUCCUACCAAUAGUGAUUCAGCUAAGCUAUUUUUGGGAUCAUUAUAUUUGGUGUAUCAUAGCGAGUUUAUUAGCCGGAAGUGUGAAAUGAGCUUAAUGAGGACGUCCGAGUGUAAGCAAAGAGGUAUUAUGGAUACUAAUAAUAAUAACUAAGUUUAAAUAUUUUGGGUCAUUGAUUUAGGCCCACUAAAUUUAUUAUUGUUGGUGGUCUGUGGGCGUCAUACUUUAACUUGUGCUAUUCAGAAUCCAGCUGAACAUUUUGAUUUCUAAAUAGUUUAAAUGGUUUAGAUCAUAUUCAAUGAUACUGAUCAUUGAUUUGAAAGUUCUAUUAAUUAAAAACAAAUCGGUAAUAAAUCAAUCCGAUUACUAUUGAUAAUAUAUAUCUAAUAAGCUCGUAAAUAUAUUAUAUGUGUUGACAAACUUUCGAAUUCAUUGUUUAGGCCCAAAUAAGAAAUGGGCCACACAUUUGUGAUAUUGGCCAAAUUCGAUAUUUAUAUCAAAAUCGCCCUAGCCCAAAUUUCAUCAUGAACACAUCCAUAGUCCAAGAUCACUCUGUUUAGGACCUGACCUUCUCAUCAGCCCAAUGACACAUAGAGCUCAGGAUCAUCAGGUGAUGUGAACUUAUCUUAUACUUUCGGCCAGUAAACAGGCUUAUAUGCCCAAUCACAAAAUAUAACGUUCCGAUCCACUAGUAAUAACAACUCGCUAGACCCAAACCGCAGGCGCAAGAUGUUUAAGUUUAAUUAGUUAUUAUUGUUAGGGACCAUGGUUUCUUAUAUGCCCAAUCACAAUCUCAUUUCCAUCAGAUGUGAAGCAAUUGGUGUGUCACAGGGGUACAAAUUCUAAAUGCUGUAGAAUUGAGGUACAUCGUAGCCAUCACUUACGUGCACUUAAUACAUGGGUGCAUAGAAGGGCAUGGCCAAUAGAUGAAUUAGCAGGAUAAUUUGAGUACGUUUUGUGGCCGGAGAUCAUUUGGUAUAUUAUGUGCACGGAUGUACCAAAGAAUUAUUCAGAAAUUAAAAGAUGAGAAUCGGAUGAGAGAGAUUUAGAAAGAAGGCUCGAGUUGACAUUAUUCUACAGAGAAGAAGAGUAGAUUGCAAUUAUUCUCGUGCUUGUGGUUGCAACUAUUGCAAAAUUUCAACAACUCGCAUUAGAGCAAGAACUAAACUUUUUAGCAAUUAGUAUUAAAGCGGAUUGCAGAUUUUCAACAAUUGGUAUCAGAGCGUAGGAGUGGAAACGAGCCGAGCUUGAGUGAGCUUAUCUCAG
rnacentral:lncRNA from 1 species